GGUCCAUGUUUACAUCCUGUCAGCUGAUGUCAGUGUGUGUGUGUCAGUGUAUGUACUCUGCACUGUACCUAAAUAAUUGUGAACUGGGGUCUGGCGCUGAGCAGCAGGUCAGAACUCCAGCAGGCGCUGGAGAGGAGGAUGAGGGUGCAGAGUGACCGGGAGGAGGAAGGACAGAACAGGACUCCUCUGGAGGAUGUGCUGCUCAGACGUCAACAGAAACAACUCGAGGGGGAGAAGGAACAAAAGGAAAAGGUACAAGAGGAAGCCCAGUUGAUGGAGUUUGUUAGAGUCCGACAAAACCUGAGAAAGAUCCACUCAGCGAUGCAGAGCAAGGCUGCAAACACCUGAAGUGCUACAGAGGAAUGCACCCACAUUGUAAAAUGAACUCUAUAGUCUAAUCUGAGUUUAUUCGACACCUACUGCCUUUCACAUGCAAGAGUAACAACAAGGUGCAUGCUGAAAGACAAUUACUAAAAUGGAUUUAAGACACAGAUUUGUAAAUAAACAGUAUUCUUUUAUAGAUAUGUAAAGAAAUGUCAUCUGCCGCUUUGUCAAAUAUUUGUAUGUGUUUUUGCUUGAUAUGGUAGUUAUUUAUCCAUAGUUACAGAAAACCAGUAUGAUCUCGUUUGACUUGUCAAUUUUGUUAACAUUAUUGUAAAUAAAUGUCAAAGAUUUCUUAUUGAUCCCAGCUAAUGAAACUACUGAUAUUUAUUUUUCCCGAUUUAAAGGAUCUGAUAGCAAUACCUGGAAAUGUAUGAACCCAUAUGAAGUAUAUUUGGUCGACAUACUGUUGAGAUAAUGUUUUGAAAGUAUACUUUAGGUUAGGUGCUUUGUGUAUAUCUGCAGCUGAGGGCAAUGCCCACGGGGGCCUUUAAAAAAACUGCAUUAAAUAUGGCUUGAUGACAAGAUGAAUAAAGAUGAUUUCAUAUAAAGCAUAUACUGUUU